rnacentral:rRNA from 1 species
AUUGAUCGCUGGCGGCAGGCUUAACACAUGCAAGUCGAGCGGAGAUGAGGUGCUUGCACCUUAUCUUAGCGGCGGACGGGUGAGUAAUGCUUAGGAAUCUGCCUAUUAGUGGGGGACAACAUUUCGAAAGGAAUGCUAAUACCGCAUACGUCCUACGGGAGAAAGCAGGGGAUCUUCGGACCUUGCGCUAAUAGAUGAGCCUAAGUCGGAUACGCUAGUUGGUGGGGUAAAGGCCUACCAAGGCGACGAUCUGUAGCGGGUCUGGGAGGAUGAUCCGCCACACUUGGACUGAGACACGGCCCAGACUCCUACGGGAGGCAGCAGUGGGGAAUAUUGGACAAUGGGCGCAAGCCUGAUCCAGCCAUGCCGCGUGUGUGAAGAAGGCCUUAUGGUUGUAAAGCACUUUAAGCGAGGAGGAGGCUACUUUAGAUAAUACCUAGAGAUAGUGGACGUUACUCGCAGAAUAAGCACCGGCUAACUCUGUGCCAGCCGCCGCGGUAAGAC